CUGACCGUGCAAAGGUAGCGUAAUCACUUGUCUCUUAAAUGGGGACCUGUAUGAAUGGCAUAACGAGGGCUUAACUGUCUCCUUUUUCAAGUCAAUGAAAUUGAUCUCCCCGUGCAGAAGCGGGGAUAUAACCAUAAGACGAGAAGACCCUAUGGAGCUUUAGACGUUAAGGCAUAUCAUGUUAAACACCCCCAAACAAAGGGUUAAACCAGAUGAGCCAUGCCCGUGUGUCUUAGGUUGGGGCGACCCCGAGGAAAUAAAAAACCCCCGAGUGGAAUGGGAGCACUGCCUCCUACAACCAAGAGCUGCAGCUCUAAUUAACAGAAUUUCUGACCAAUAAUGAUCCGGCAACGCCGAUCAACGGACCAAGUUACCCUAGGGAUAACAGCGCAAUCCCCUUUUAGAGCCCAUAUCGACAAGGGGGUUUACGACCUCGAUGUUGGAUCAGGACAUCCUAAUGGUGCAGCCGCUAUUAAGGGUUCGUUGUUCAACGAUUAAAGUCCUACGUGAUCUGAGUUCAGACCGGAG
rnacentral:rRNA from 1 species